GCUACCGGUGAGGAACGGGUGCUGUGUACGAGAGGGAGCCGAGGGCUUCGUCUUCCCAGCAACAGGCGCUCGUGCCUCAGAGGCACGACAGAUUCCUAGGCGCUGCUUGAGUGUGACGUGUUUCCCAACUGCCACUACCCUCUUCAAAGUACUGACCUUGCAUAGUUUAAGCUAUUGUAUUCUUACCGCAUUAUCGGUUCGUCAUCUUUAUCGAUUCAUUUCCUUGCAUGCUUUCUACAGGCUGCCUCUUCAAGCCUCAGGAGGACAGUGCUCCUAAACUGGCCUGCACUUUACAUCACAUGGGGAUCUUCUAAAAAUUCCAAGCCCAGAGCAUACCCCAGGCCAAUUAAAUCACAAUUCCCUAGCGGUGGGAAACAGGUAUCAGUAGUUUUGGAAAUUCUCCAGGUGAUUCCAAUGUGCAGAAAAGUUUGGGAACCACUGCCCUAAGGCCUUGCUGCUCAAAGUGUGGACUGUGGACCAGCAGCAUCACUAGAAAUCAGAACCUCUAACUACUUCAAUCAGAGAUCUCUGGGUGAUUUGACACACAUUAAGAUUUGGGAAGCACUGUUUAGAGGCCUGAAUGGAUAUGGGUAUCUUGAUUUAUGAGGACCACGUGUUUAAAGGAUGUCCUUGGAUGAGGAUAACAACGACAGGAUGGAUUGUGUGACCUUCCACCAGGGUCCAUCUGUUUAAAGAUGCAACAAGAUGAAAACAUGUCCUCCAUCUGCCACUCUCGCUUUUUUGUUGAACGAGCUGGGAUCCUGCAGAUGAGUGAGUGCUGUCUCCUGCCCGCUGGGACUGGUCUAGACCUGCUCCCAGCGCCAGUCCUACCACGUGCUAUUCCAGCAGGGGAAAGGCAAUCUCGAGAUACAACAGUCUGGUUUCCAAGAGGGACCUGGAGAAGAGAGAAUGCAGGCAGCAGUGGCUGAAACAGAGCUGUCACCUACAGUUUGAAUAAUUUUAACACUAAUAUCAUUUACGUACAUUCAAGUGAACUCUUUUCUUUGUGCCCAGAUGGUGUAUUGACAUAACUGCUUUAAUGAAAAGAUCUUUUGACAACAAACGCGUUUUAGUUUUUGAAAGAGGAAGCAUUCCUUGUUGGGCUUAAUUGAUGAGGUUUAAAUAUCCUCUUUUUUCUAGGAAAUCUAGCUCUCUAACUCCUCUCGUGUUGUUAAUGCCCAGGGUGUAGGGAGCAAUGGACUGAGAGUGCCCACAUCCCCCAGGGCCUCACAGAACCAUCUCAUCGGGGGUCUGCUCCCUCUGUACCUCCACCUCCGCAUCUGUUUUGUGGGUAUCUUCCCAUAGCAGGCACUUUCCUCCUGUUCCUGAGGAGGUUGUAAGCCCGGAGAGACAAGGUGAGUGAGCAUGCCUUACCUGGAACGUGCUACUGCUUCAGUCCUUCCUCUGAUUUCCCCCAGCCCCAGCUCAGGUCGGGGCAGGGUCGACAGCUGGCCAAGAAUAUAAAACUGGCUGUUUGAACCAAUGGCUCUUUCAUGAGCUUAGCCAGGUGUCUGGUGUUGGGCCACAGUCAGUAUAUUCAUCUUUAGAGGCCAGAAGUCCAAGUUGCCUUCUGAGGUUGGUGGAAAGGAGGAGGAGAGGUGAAGAUGACCUCCUUCCCAGAAGGUGGAACCGAGGAUGACCGUCUACUAGCAGCACCCGGGGGACUAGCUCUGCGUCCUGGAACUUCCUUCUCUCAACAGGAAGUGAUGGACUGAAUAACACUUAACGCAAAGUGGGAAGCGGUCCUCCGAGUACAUGCCAGAAUGGUUAUAGACAGAGGGCUAAAGUAGUUGGAAGAAAAUUCUUGUUGAAAUAUUCCCGUCUGUAUUUUAGACAGAUUUCACCUCUGAGGAUAAAAUGAUGUAUUAUAGCAACAACAGCCUAAAUUAAUAAAAGCACAGGAAAAGACUUUAAUAGAAACUGGAAACUUCUGUAACUUUUGCCCAACCCAGAACUUUGGGAGAUGUUAGAUGAGACAUCAGCUACAGAACCUAGAACUGAGAGCAUUUCCCAGGACGUUAGUAACAGGUUUAGCUAAAUAGGACUACGAUUCCUGCUCUCAUAGCUCCUCACUGUUUGCAAAGACAAAUAAUCACCCAGACUACAGAGACCAACACACAACAAAAAGGGAAAUUUAAUCAAUAUUUAAUAAACAUUUUUGAUGCUAAUGAUAACAA
rnacentral:lncRNA from 1 species